GUCGAGUAUGGAAGAAAGUGCUGAGACGCGUGCAAGUGUGUAUCGAUGAAUAUUCUAGAAAUCGUUUAUAAAAUAAAUAUGUGUCUACGUUAAUAUCAAUGCCCAGUGUAAAUUUAACGUUUCUAUAACAAUAUUUGGGCCAUCAAGAUCCACAAUUCUCAACAUGUUCAAUUGCCUAAUGAGAUUUCUUGAAACACACGAGAACUAAAAAUACACCGGUUGUGUCAGUAGCACGAUGUUAUUUAUUGUUACAUAAUCGCAAUGGCGUGGUGUAACGUACACGUCAAUGCAACAAAUAUAUUCAAAUACUUUAGUGUAUAUUCUUAUAAAGGUUUGAAAAUUCAUAAUCAAAUCUCCUAGAAUCUAAAUAAUAUAAUCUCCAUUAAAAAGAAAAUACUUUUAGUCUUAGUACUCUUCGAAUAUCAGGUCGUCGGAAAAGUUUCUUUCGUUUUAUGACGAAAUAAUCGACGCACGUUUCUUCUUUUAUUUUAUUUUGUACGAUCCAUUUUGUUCUGUUGAGAUAAACACCGCGACGUUCCACAGACUGCACGGAAACAGUUGUUUGCGAAAGAAAGACAAUUUUUGGAUAAUCUAAUAUUUUGAUAUUUGUCGUGGAAAAUAUUUAUGAAUAUAUCGUAAGUGUUGUAGGAAACGUUUUGAAAUUUUAUUAGCACUUUAAUGAGACACGGCUAUCUUAAUUAUAUUCGUAAAAUUCGGCAUUAAUCGGAAAAUGUAUGUAGAAGUUGCAAGAUAUUUAUUACAAUUUUCCUACAUUUAGUAAAAAGAAAGUAUAAAUAAUAAUAAUAAGUAAGUAUAAAAUUAGUAUACAAAAUUGGUAAAUAGACUGUUGACAUACAAUCAAUGUUACAGUCUCGCUAAAUAUUGUAGCUUGUUAAUAUUAAAUUAUGCGAAAAGUUUCUUUCGUUUUAUAAUAAAAUAAUAAUCGCACAAUAUUUUGUUUUUUAAAUAACAGUAAUUGAAUAAAAUAAUAUAAAAGACAAAUUGUUGAAAAAAACAAACUUCUCAGACGACCUAAUAUAAUUUAUAAUUCAUCACACAAAUAUCUGGAUCAUUUCUACAAAAUGAAUGCUUCCAACGAAUAUAUAGAUUUUCAAAUUCGCUGAAAAUUUUACAUAUUGUGUUACUCGAGUCUGGUUACGGUGAUUUAAACAUUUCAAAUCGUUUCCUACAACUCACGUAAUCUAAUAUUCUUUCGUAAGUUACGAUCUAUUCGACAAACAAUUUUCCGAAACUUUUGCACCAAUCGUCCGGACGUAUCUCGCAGCUGUUGCGAAAAGUAACGAAGAAAAGCGUAUUCGAAUGUUGGUGAAGAUUCUGGCACGAUUUUCGUGCGCCGUUGAAAAAUAACGAAAAUGCGGCCGGCCGUGCGACACGACGUUGCCGCGACAAUUAAUUUUCGGCCAGUUAAAUCGCGGCCCCGGGGGCAGCCAACAGAUCGAAAGUGCGUCAAAAAUUGCUGCUUGUAUGGACGUGUAUAUGCGUCACGUAGCACAUCGACCAGCUUUUUCCUUCGUUGUUAUUCACCAAUACAGGCGAGUUUUACAUGUAUCGGUGUUGUGCACGGUCGCGAACGCAAUACGCUCGACAGCUCGUGAGCGACGUAUUAAUAGAAGCGUACUUCGACGCCGUGCGUCGUUGUUGCCGACUGUCAAGCGAUAUUCUAACGAGCCGUUGCCGUUGAAACGCGUCGAUUUUUCAAAACCGAGAGAUCACGUCGAAUAGGAUACACAGACUGAAGAGAAAUUCUGUAACGAGUCGAAGCCGAACUGGCCGCCAGUACAGUCGCCAUGUUCCGACGGCCGUCGCAGCGCCAUGUUGGCCUGCCGCCUGCGACUCACGCUCCAUCAAGCAAAUACGAGGCGUAUUUUUCGUUUAAUCAAAAAUUCUGACGGAAUUGUUGUGCAAUUUCUGUGAUUUGUAAAGCUGUGCAAUGGGAUAAUUUUCGUGGGAAAAAGAACCAUCGUUUUUGGAUAAAUUUUCGGGAAAAAUCGUUGCCAAUAUCGAAGAAAUGGUUUUAAAAAGACAGAAAACUUAUUUUUUCUUCUUUUUUUUUUGUGAAAUAAGUUUCGCCUUUUUGCAGCAUAUGAAUUUUGUGUUCCGGUUAAACGUAAAAGGUUUGAUUUAUCUUGAUUAGCGAAUCUUGCUGGUUUUCACCGGCGAAUUUGCGGAAAGAAUUAUUUAUGUCGCGGUAGAAUGUUUUUUAAAGAAUAUUUGUCCCCGUGUACAUAUUCCCCCCUCCCCCUGUUUUUUUCUCGCGAGAAAAAACACAAAAGCAUUUUUUUCUAUAAAGUAGGUAAUAUAUUUCUGGUGGAGUUAGUGGAAUUAUUUCGAUUUAUGUUUCACUCGGUUUAUUUUUGAUUUGUAUCUCUGACUGAAUAAAUAUAGAUCUUGAAGCUUAACUACUAUUUGUUGUCGCCCUCUAUAGAUUCGCUACGAAUUCAAUAUGCGAUCAUAAAUAAUUCUCUUGAUGUUUUAUACACGUCGAGGUGGUUUGUACAGUGGAUUAAUUUUUCGUGUAAAUUUAUUCGCUCAUUAAGCUGUAUCCCUUUCGGCUUUUACACGAGAACCAUUUUAACCCAAAUUCACGUCAUAUUGCUGAUUAUUUCGUUGCUUUAAAAUGUUUCAUUUAAUAAUCAAAUUAUUUUAUUUCCUUUAUUCCGUUUCAAUUUGUUAUUUAGAAUCAUUUUCGAUCGCGCGAUCUUCGAAUCGUUUAUCGUAAUUUUUUAUUUUGUCGUUGAUUCGAGUAAUUGUCGCGACUGCGAUAAAUUUCAAUAACGUUAUUUAAUAAUUAAUUCUAAAGCAAAAAGACGAAAGUUAGCUGAAAAUUACGCUGGUAAUUUGUUUUUCCUGCACGCGACCUGGCUUAAAUUUAUGCGAUCAAAUGAAACCCAAUGAAAUAUCACCGGUCAAAAUAAAACACGAAAGCGAUGCACGAGUAAUUAAAUGUAACAUAAUUGUUUUUCCAUGAAAAAAUGUCCGUGCGUAUGUCGCGUAUUCCGACGGCCGACGCAUUCGAACAAGUCCGAACGCGACGACUUGUACCCAAACAUAAUUAGAACAGUAAAAUAAAAUUUAUCAGUCACCUUACAGUAAAAAGAAUCGUAAUAAAUACUUUCGACUUUCAGUGGAAUAAUUUUCCAGUAGAUUCUUUGCUUCUUCUAACUUCUUCAACUUGAACAAAAUAUUCUACCAAAGAACUAAAUCUUAUUCAGAAAAUAAAAACUAUCCAUCAAAGAUAAUUAGAACAGUCAAAUAAAAUUUAUUAAGCACCUUACAGUAAGAAGAAUCAUAAAAAAUGGAAUAAUUUUCCAGUAGAUUCUUUGCUUUUUCUAAUUUCUUCAAUAUCUACAAAAUGUUUUAUCAAAAAACUGAAUCUUAUUUAGAAAAUAAAAACUACCUAUCAAAGAUAAUUAGAACAGUCAAAUAUAAUUUAUUAAACACCUUACAGUAAAAAGAAUCAUAAAAAAUGGAAUAAUUUUCCAGUAGAUUCUUUGCUUCUUCUAACUUCUUCAACUUGAACAAAAUAUUCUACCAAAGAACUGAAUCUUAUUCAGAAAAUAAAAGCUGUCCAUCAAAGAUAAUUAGAACAGUCAAGUAAAAUUUAUUAAACAUCUUACAGUAAAAAGAAUCACUUUUAAUGGAAUAAUUUUCAAGCAAAAUUCUUUGCAGUCUCUUACAACUUCUUCAACGUCUACAAAAUAUUCUACGAAGAAACUGAAUCUUAUUCAGCAAAAUAAGAAGCUAUCUAUCGAAGAUAAAGGGGACAAUAUACAAAAUUAUUUCCACCACACAAGCAAAGCAAAGGGAGCAGAUUUAUGAAUAUCACUUUCCGAAAACCGUAAUAGACUCGCGGGGUUCUCGUAUUCGUUCGAGGAAGGCAAAUUCGACGAACAAAAUUACAGGAUGGCGUGACUAUAGUUGUACGCUCUGCUAACGAUAAAACAAAGGGCGAUUCGAUCGGAAUUUAUCGAUGUUGCGAUAUUGCGUUGCUCGCGCGUUCCUCGAAUCGGUCACUGAUCGACCUACGAUUAAUUUUAUUAUUCGUCACGACCCGCAAAGUGGUGCAGCUUAUACUCUGGCAAAAAUUAUUAAUCGAAAACCGGGGCCACCUCGCGAUACCGCGUGCCCGUGCGAAAGAAACGAGACGAGGAAGAAGAGGCGGACGACGUAUUUACGAAAGCGGCCCGCGUGUACCACGUGUGCGUCGUAAAUCAUUUGGCUGACUCCUCUAAUUAUAAGUAUGACUAUCGCCGCUAUCGCAUCGUCGUCGCGCGUAGAACGCCCCAAGCGAGACAAGCAACGGUGAACUUCUACACGAUAAAACGAUCCUGCAGUCUUGAGGUCGCGAUACGUUCGAGAACAGACGAAGGAAGAAGAAGAAAAAAAAGCAUUAGGUGGCGUAAAAAGGGCCGACAGAUGAAUUCCAUGUUGCAUGGAAUCGGUUACUCGUUUACCGAGAACCAACUCCAAACGAGACCGUCUCUUAAUUGACUUUUUUUCCACUUCGACAUGUUCGUGAGAAGAGGCGAACUUUUUACCUUACUUUUUUUUAUAUCUUGCCAUCGGUUGUUUCGGUUGUUGCAUCCAAUGCGACCGGCCACUCGAGGCAAGACUCAAUUUUAGCCUCGUUUUUUCAUAUUCCCAGGAUUAUCCAGCUACUUUUUCGUACUUUUCGCCACAACUCUCCGAUACUUUAAGAGAAAUUCUUUCGACCAGCGAAAGUAACACACUGGACUCUGAGCAUGCUGUUUCUGCGACCAGGUUUUCUGGACGGAGCUUCGAAGCAAAUAGCUAUAUAUAAAAAUAGUAAACAAAAAAACGUAACCUCGACGUACAAACAUCGUACGGCUAUGUCGUACCGUCACGUAUCGCUACGUUUGCCUGAACCAUCCCACGACCGAAGUUUAUUGUUUAUUGUGAACAACGUGCCAAUGUAAUACUCAAAAUACUGGCCAGUAAACGUUCUAAAAAGAAGAAGGCACUGUAUUCUGCGGAGAUCGAUACAGUAAGACGAUAUUGAGAUGGGAACUUGAGAUGGAAAAUUAUAAUACAUUAUCGAAGAUCUCUCUAUCGCGUGAGCCACAAGUCUGGCAUCGAAGUAUUCGUACGCUUCUCGUCUACUUCUCAACUUGAUGAAGCUGCGGCUUCUUUUAUUCAUAAAUCCGAUAUUCCAGGUUCCAUUGGCCGCGCGUCGGAUCCCAUGGAUCUCGCUUAAACUUGGCUACUUUAUCGCGCUGUUCAAGGUCGCGCGAUAUUUCUCGCAAAGUAGCGUCGGUGAAGUGAAAAAAGAAGGGAUUUCGGUUGGGAAUUAAAUUUCGAUCACGUGGACAACUUCGGCAUUUAAUAACGAACGAUGAUGAUGGGAUCGCGGGAGAAACGGUCGCCGAUUGGCCGUAAAACUGACGUCGGCGACGAGAUCGGCCGGAAGCAACGUGGCAUGUUAUCAUUUGCGAAUUUAAAAAUAUUUUCGAUAACCGAUAUCGACGGCCACAUCGCCAGGCCGCUGUCCGCUGCCGGCAGAUAUAUCGCGAGCGCGAAAAUAUUACUCGUCGUACAUCAUGCGAGUACGUACGCGCACCCCGCGGAUAUCGCGACCCAUUAUCGAUAUCGCUGUGAUACCUAACGCCUGAAUUCUAAUCGCCAGAGCCUUCGAAUCCGGUCGACCAGUAGCAAUUUUGACGUCUGUUGUUGGGUUCCGAAGGACGUUUUCUGUUGGACGGAGAUGAAGUUUGUAUAGAAAUAGACGCGCGAUUGAUCAAUGCGAUGAUUGAUUAAUUAAUUAAUUAAGAGUUUCUUGGAAGUAGAAUCGUUUGACUUUGAUUUUUAUUAAUCUGUUGAUUUUGUUACAUGAGUCGAUUAUGUGAUUAGUAUUCAAUUAUGGGAAACGAAUGAGUUACUGUGGUAAGUAACUCAUAUUAAAAAUGUAACUCAUAUAACUCGUAUAAAAAAUAUUAAUAUGUGGUAGAUAUUCAGAUGAAUCUAAAGGACAGUGUUUGAAAUAUUAUUAUUUUGCUGUACUUGUCAAAUUGUGGGUUUGACCAUUGAACUUUAUUUAAAUUGCGCUAUUUAAUUGCUAAGGUUUAGGAAGAAUAAGAAAAAUGACAUUAGUGUGUUGAUGUCUUUAAUAGUUAAAUUAUAGAAUUUAACUACAUGCAACAAUCAUUAUUUUGCUGUACUUUUCAACUUGUGGGUUUGAUCAGUGCUUCCUCUGAACAAUUUAAUUCAAAACCGCUAGAACUUUAAUCUAAUUGCUGAGAUUUAAAAUAAAUAAGAAAAACGAUAUUAAUGUGUUGAUAUCUUCAACAGUUAAAUUAAGAAAUUUGGCUAAAUGCAAAAAUCAUUAUUUUGCUGUAGUUUUCAACUUGUGGGUUUGAUCAGUACAACUUCUGAACAAUUCAAUUAAAGAUUGUUAGAACUUCAUUUAAAUUGUACUAUUAAAUUGCUGAGAUUUAAGAAGCAUAAGAAAAAUGACAUUAGUGUGUUGAUGUCUUCAACAGUUAAAUUAAAAAAUUUAGCUAAAUGCAAAAAUCAUUAUCUUACUGUAGUUUUCAACUUGUGGGUUUGAUCAAUGCCCCUUUGAACAGUUUAAUUGAGGAUUGCUAGAACUUUAAUCUAAUUGCUGAGAUUUAAGAUAAAUAAGAAAAAUGACAUUAGUGUGUUGAUGUCUUUAACAGUUAAAUAAAAUAAUUUAACUACAUGCAAGAAUCAUUAUUUUGCUGUAGUUUUCAACAUGUGGGUUUGAUCAAUGAACCCCGUGAACAGUUCAAUUAAAAAUUGCUAGAAUUUUAUUUAAAUUGUACUGUCUAAUUACUCAGAUUUAAGAUGAAUAAGAAAAAUGACAUUAGUCGUGCUGAUGAUAGUUAAAUUUCAAAAUUUAACUAAAUUCAAAAACGAAUUUGAAAAAGUUACAGUUCUUAUACCUAGUUUGAAGAUUGUUUAAAAUAUCUAACGACGAUUAAUUUAAAAUACAGUGUUUGCAAUAUCGUUAUUUUACUGUACGUGUCAACUUGUGGGUUUGAUCAGUGAACCCUGUGAACAGUGCAAUUAAAACUUGCUAGAACUUUAUUUAAAUUGUACUGUUCAAUUACUCAGAUUUAAGAUAAAUAAGAAAAAUGACACUAACGUGUUGAUGUCUUCAACAGUUAAAUUUAAGGAUUUAACUAAAUGCAAAAAUUAUUAUUUUGCUGUUGUUUUCAACUUGUGGGUUUGAUCAGUGAACCCUGUGAACAGUUUAAUUCCAAAUUACCAGAACUUUAAUCCAAUUGCUGAGAUUUAAGAUGACAUUAAUCGGAUCGAUGCCCUUAACAGUUAAACUUCAGAAUUUAGCCAAACCCAAAAACGAAUUUGAACAAAAUUACAGUUAAUUACACCCAGCUUGAUCAUUGUUUAAAAUAUAAUACAACGACGAUUAAUUCGCAGUACAAAUAUUUGAAACGCAAGGCUCGCAAGCUUCCGUCUACAGGAUUUAUGAAGUGCAUCAAAUCUGAACGCGCGGUAACGGUGAAUUAAUUUCAAUCGUUGCCGAAGCGAGACAAACGUUUUUCCUCCACCAUUUUGACCGCAACGUGCCACCAACCGAACCGAUCGAUACUUGUAAAUAGAACGCGCGGCGAAAGGCCAAACGGACAAGCCAGCGACGCGUUCAAAUUAAUCCAAGAUACAACGCCGAUCGAAUGUCAGAUCGGUUGCUUAUCUCACUAUCUUAUUCAUUUACCUCGAUAUUUCCACGUGAUGUGUACUCGACGAUCGUCGCGGCAAAGGAACCAACCAACCACGUUGCUGCGUAACAACUAUAAAUCACGUUGGACACUGGAAAGCGCACUGUGCCACGAUUUUUGCCACGAUCGAUUCGAUCGAUCGGGCAUGAACGCGAUCGAGGCGAAACGCGAAAAUCAAAAGAGGCAAAACGUAGAUAAAGAGCGAUCGCGAUCGGAAAUCGGACAUCCGGACGUGGAGGAAUUUUGCGUAGAACUGAACCAGGAAAUAUUGCGGGGCGCGACGGCUAAGCCUUUGGGUUGUCCAGGCAGUAAAUCAAAGUGCGAACAGAUCAGUUGGUUCUGGUCGUUCUGCUCUCUCCAUCGGUUGACGGGGGUCGCGGAAAAGGAUGAGAAGAGAUGCUUCGACAGGUGAAGCGAGAAUCUAAUUUAAACGAUCGUGGCGAAGGUGGUUCGUUGCUAUCGUUUGUACAGGAUAUUGCGACCCGACCUUUCGCCAAGGAAUUUCGCUUGUGUCGCGAAACCAAUUUGGAAUAUUUUAAUUGAAACGUGUUUGGAAAAUCACGCAGGGUACGUAGACUGUAGAUGUUUGUGCAUUUAUGGCACGUUUAAGGACUGCAAGUUACGUAGAAUGUACACGGUGUGGGGAAAUGUAAGAAGUGAAGAGGUCUCGUGAUAGUAAAUAAUAGAAAUGGUUGAAAAAUUGUAGGAAUAAUGGUUUGGUAAUAAAAAGAAGAAAUGGCUAUUUUUUGGAAGGUGGAAGAAAUGUUUGCUUCUUUAAUACAGUUCAGAAAAAUGCUAAUUUCUAUGAACAUUCACAAAUAAAUAAAUAAUAAAUGCAGUUUAGAAAUUAAAAGAAAAAUAGUUUGGUAAUAAAAAGAAGAAAUGGCUAUUUUUUGGAAGGUGGAAGAAAUCUUUGCUUCUUUAAUACAGUUCAGAAAAAUGCUAAUCUCUAUGAACAUUCACAAAUAAAUAAAUAAUAAAUACAGUUUAGAAAUUAAAAGAAAAAUAGUUUGGUAAUAAAAAGAAGAAAUGACUAUUUUCUAAAAGAUGGAAGAAACCUUUGUUUCUUUAAUCGAUUUCAGAAGAAUACUAAUUUGCAUGAACAUUCACAAAUAAAUAAAUAAUAAAUACAGUUUAGAAAUUAAAAGAAAAAUAGUCUGGCAAUAAAAAGAAGAAAUGGCUAGUUUUUAGCGAGUUCAGAAAAAUAUUAGGUUUUAUAUUAUUUUAUCCAAUUACGUCUGAUCCAUUUUGUUCUAUCAAAAUAAAGAUCACAACGUUCCACA